rnacentral:rRNA from 1 species
UACGGAGGGGGUUAGCGUUGUUCGGAAUGACUGGGCGUAAAGCGCGCGUAGGCGGAUCAGUAAGUGGGGGGUGAAAUCCCGGGGCUCAACCCCGGAAUGGCCUUCAAAACUCCUGGUCUUGAGUUCGAGAGAGGUGAGUGGAAUUCCGAGUGUAGAGGUGAAAUUCGUAGAUAUUCGGAGGAACACCAGUGGCGAAGGCGGCUCACUGGCUCGACACUGACGCUGAGGUGCGAAAGCGUGGGGAGCAAACAGG